ACUGUUAAAACUCACAAUUUCUCAGUGGUCGGACAUCACUUGCUUUAUUGAGCGUAGUGGUCUUCCACUAUUAAAGUAUCGUAUCAGUGAGGAUGCAAUAACCAUAGGGGGGCAGAGAACAAUUGAUUUGAUGUUGAGUUGUAAAAGAAAAAGUGAAGAAAUAGUCAUUCGUUUUCCUUACUAUCCUAGUGGGAGGAGACAAAGUUGGUGGAUUUUAUUAUUUGAUGCACAAGACCAAUUGCUUACGGUCGAAUUUGUUUCUUCUUGGACAUCUAACACCACAACCCCAUUAAGGUUUCAGUGUCCAGUUCAGGCUGAAAAUGCUACAUAUAACCUCAUGUUUGUAAGUGAGUCAAUUAAGGGUGUUAGUGUAAUGCAAAGCUUUAUUGUGAAUGGUUGGGCCGUGGGGUAAAAGGUGGCUGGCUACAUUUGCAAUGGUCUUCGGAUGAGACAUUUUCAGGUUAGCCAAGAAUUGUGAUGAGGAUCAACACAAGAGUUCAUUUCAUUAUAAUUUUGUUUUGGUUUUGUAUAAUUUUAAGUCUGCACACUGUUGGGAUCUUGACCAUUUGUUGUGACCCAUUUUAAGAUUUAAGAAUUGUGAGAGAGAUGUUAUCCUCUUGUAAGGAUCUUAUUUUAAGAGAGGUGUUUCUUUUAGAGAAUUGUGAGAGAGAUGUUAUCCUCAAGUUUUUAAAUUAGAACUUGCUUUAACUUUGUCAA